GAUGAAGAACGCAGCGAAAUGCGAUAAGUAAUGUGAAUUGCAGAAUUCAGUGAAUCAUCGAAUCUUUGAACGCACCUUGCGCUCCUUGGCAUUCCGAGGAGCAUGCCUGUUUGUGUGUCAUUAAAUUCUCAAGACCUGUCUGCUUUUUUGAUAGGUAUUGGAUUUUGGGGGUUGCAGGCUGUUUCAAAUAAAUAGCCUUGCUCUCCUUGAAUGUAUUAGUGGAGAAAAGCCAUUGAACUCCAUUGGUGUGAUAAAACCUAUCAAUGCCAGGAGCAAUAUCACUACUUCUCUCUGCUGUCUAACCGUGACUGUCUGUAUUAAUUAGUAUGGAUGGGGACAACUUGACCAACUUGACCUCAAAUCAGGUAGGACUACCCGCUGAACUUAAGCAUAUCAAUAAGCGGAGGA
rnacentral:misc_RNA from 1 species